rnacentral:rRNA from 1 species
GAACGCUGGCGGCGUGCCUAACACAUGCAAGUCGAGCGAGAAAGUUCCUUCGGGAGCGAGUAGAGCGGCGGACGGGUGAGUAAUACAUAGGUAAUCUACCUUCGAGUUUGGGAUAACCCCGCGAAAGUGGGGCUAAUACCGGAUAAGACCACGCAAUCAUGUUGCGGGGUAAAAGGUGGCUUAUUUUUUAAAUGAGCUAUCACUUGAUGAUGAGCCUAUGGCCUAUCAGCUUGUUGGCGGGGUAAGAGCCCACCAAGGCUAUGACGGGUAGCUGGUCUGAGAGGACGAUCAGCCACACUGGGACUGAGACACGGCCCAGACUCCUACGGGAGGCAGCAGUGGGGAAUAUUGGGCAAUGGGCGAAAGCCUGACCCAGCGACGCCGCGUGGGCGAUGAAGGCCUUCGGGUUGUAAAGCCCUGUCAUGCGGAAAGAACGACCCUGUGACGCAUACUCACAGGGAGUGACGGUACCGCAGGAGGAAGCACCGGCUAACUCCGUGCCAGCAGCCGCGG